AUUGGAUGAGCCCGCGGCCUAUCAGCUUGUUGGCGGGGUAACGGCCCACCAAGGCGACGACGGGUAGCUGGUCUGAGAGGACGACCAGCCACACUGGGACUGAGACACGGCCCAGACUCCUACGGGAGGCAGCAGUAGGGAAUAUUGCGCUAAUGCGCGAAAGCGUGACGCAGCGACGCCGCGUGGGGGAUGAAGGCCCUCGGGUUGUAAACCCCUUUCGGCAGGGACGAAGCGAGAGUGACGGUACCUGCAGAAGAAGUCCCGGCUAACUACGUGCCAGCAGCCGCGGCCGAAU
rnacentral:rRNA from 1 species